UACGUAGGGUGCGAGCGUUAAUCGGAAUUACUGGGCGUAAAGGGUGCGCAGGCGGUUAUAUAAGACAGAUGUGAAAUCCCCGGGCUCAACCUGGGAACUGCGUUUGUGACUGUAUGACUAGAGUACGGUAGAGAGGGGUGGAAUUCCUGGUGUAGCAGUGAAAUGCGUAGAUAUCAGGAGGAACACCGAUGGCGAAGGCAAUCCCCUGGACCUGUACUGACGCUCAUGCACGAAAGCGUGGGGAGCAAACAGG
rnacentral:rRNA from 1 species